GAUUGCGCAUCGCUGACAUGUUUGACCUAUGGUUUGACACGUUGGCAAAAGGAAUUAACAGCAAAUAUUUAUUGUAUUAUCUCUAAAGUGUGUAAUAUACACUUGAAAGAACGAAACAUAUGAUUUGAGAUGACAGGAAACUCGCCAGAUCAUCGCCACUUUUGUAUAAGGGGAUACAGAAUCCAAGUUGUGCUUUUUCUUUUUUAUUUCUGGAAUACCGCAGCUGUUUCCGGCGAAGAUGAAAAAUAUGUUCGUCCACCAUGGUACAUAGGGUUAUUCUGGAAUUUACUGGGCUACGCGACUGUUAUCAUUCCUGGGGCCGUUAUUAUUCAUUUGGUAAAAAAAUCUAAUUUAAAUGACAGUCCAGGUCGAGGCUUUCCGUUCAAACUUCUUCAAGCCUUUGUGUAUGGCCAGCCGGAAGAAAAACGUAGCAUUGAAGAGGGUCCAAUCAGAACAGCACCUGAAUCAAAGGAACCGCCCAAACUGGGAGUAACUACAGCAAAGUUGAUCUUCUGCGCGAUUGGUCUACAGGGGUCAUAUCUCACCUGGGGGGUUCUGCAGGAACAGAUUAUGACAGAGACUUAUGAUGAGCUUUCAGAGGAUGGCAUUCUACACAAAGUGAAAUUUGAGGACUCCCAAUACCUUGUAUUUUCUAACAGAGUCCUGGCUUUGAUUGUAGCUGGGGUGUAUAUAUCCAUUGCUGAACAGCCAUACCAUACGGCACCAUUUUUUAAAUACUCUUAUUCUUCCUUUUCAAACAUAAUGAGCAGUUGGUGCCAAUAUGAAGCAUUGAAGUUUGUUAGCUUUCCAACGCAAGUUCUUUGCAAAGCUUCAAAAAUGAUCCCAGUAAUGAUCAUGGGUAAAGUGGUAUCUGGAAAAAGUUAUCCAUAUUCUGAAUAUCUUGUUGCUAUUCUACUUUCAUUUGGCACAAGCUUGUUCCUUUUGUCGCACAAUGCUGACCAUGCUCAUCAUGAUCAACCAACAACAGUUGUAGGACUUUUCAUCCUUCUAGGGUACAUGAUUUUUGAUAGCUUUACAUCAAACUGGCAAUCUGCAUUGUUUAAAAAACACAAGAUGUCUUCAAUGCAGAUGAUGUUCGGCACCAAUGUCUUUUCAAGUGUGUUCACUUUUUGUUCUCUUCUACAAACUGGUGGUCUUGUUCGUUCCUUGUCAUUCACAUCAAGGCAUCCCCGUUUCCUGUAUCAAGUAUUUAUCCUGUCAAUGACAUCUGCAUUUGGUCAGCUGUUUAUAUUCUACACAAUCCAAACUUUUGGUCCAAUUGUGUUUGUAAUAAUCAUGACAGCUCGAAUGAUAUUCAGUAUUGUGCUUUCCUGUAUUAUUUACAAGCAUACCCUGGCAUCACAGGCUAUUUUUGGCGUUUUUGUUGUUUUUGGAGCUAUAUCAUAUCGAAUCUAUGUACGAUACAAAGCGUCAAAGGGUACAGACAAAGUGUCAAUAACACAAAACAAAUAAGGAAAAUUUGACUUCAGAACCUUUUUGAACACAUUUUAUUUAAUGUUUAGUGAGAAGUAGUUAAUAAAAUCAUGUUUUGUUUACACCUUACUGGCAAAAUAAAAAGUGAUUUGGAACAUCCAACCCUUGGUAUUUUGCCUGCAAGCAAAAUAUAAACAAAUGGUUUAUUUUGGUUGGAAAAGUUUAUUCUGUAUUUUGCUUAAUAAAACUAAAGCAGUGUUGAUUAGCAUUAGACCAUUGUAACAAACGUAUGAGUUACUAAUUUGUAAUGUUUUGAUUGUAUCAAAAAAAUAUCAUCUAAUAAUUAUACCAGUGAACUCUUGUCACAAUUUACAUAAAGUAAUGUAAUAUUCUCUUGAAUACCGCAUCCACCCGAAGGGGCGCAGACAAUAUGGCGGACGAAAAUGAUCAACUUUGCAACUAUUGGAAGCUUUCUUCCAAAAAAUUACAUCAAUUACUACAUCGUUUUGUCCAUAUAACGCUUUUCGAAGGGGAGGAAUUGUAUGGUUGGAUUUACACGAUCGAUCCUGUGUCUUAUACAAUCGCUCUUGCCAAAGACAUGGACAAACAACAAGAAAAGAACCGGAAUGGUUGAAAAGCUUCACGGUAAAGGAAAGACAGCACUACACAGACGAGGAGCUCC
rnacentral:misc_RNA from 1 species